AUGCGCUCCAAGGCGGCGCCUUCAGAAAGAAUACGACGCCGGAGCGCCGCCACCGCCCGAUCCAAGGAUCAGAGUUUCCCCCGAAGCCGCAUGACGGGCAAUGAGAGCCGUGACGAAGCCUUCAAAAAGGGAACGAUCUUCGCCGCCGUCGGUCCGUCCAAAGAUAGAGCAGGUUUUCACCUCGGCCAACAUUCACCGCCACCGAACGCCACACCCCGGCAACCACGCCGCCCACACGACCAUGGUGACCGGGCAACACCAAGGCACAGGCUUUGUCCAAGAGCACCGCGCAACCACCACAACCAGGGCCGCCGCCCCAACAUCCAAGACCUCGACACCACCUCACCCGUGACCCGCCGCACCCCAACGAAAGAGACGAGCGGGAAGGUCCCACCUUUCGCGCCCCUGGGCAGCGUCGAGACCCAAUAG
rnacentral:rRNA from 1 species